rnacentral:rRNA from 1 species
UUCAGUUGGGCACUCUAAGGUGACUGCCGGCUAAAAGUCGGAGGAAGGUGGGGAUGACGUCAAAUCAUCAUGCCCCUUAUGACCUGGGCUACACACGUGCUACAAUGGGCGGUACAAAGGGUCGCGAACCCGCGAGGGGGAGCCCAAUCCCAAAAAAGCCGCUCUCAGUUCGGAUUGCAGGCUGCAACUCGCCUGCAUGAAGCCGGAAUCGCUAGUAAUCGCGGAUCAGCAUGCCGCGGUGAAUACGUUCCCGGGCCUU